GAGGGUAUAGCACAGUGGUAGAGUGCAUGCCUAGUACGCAUGGGCUCCUGGGUUCAGUCCCCAGUACUUCCA
rfam:Camelus ferus unplaced genomic scaffold scaffold1340, whole genome shotgun sequence.